rnacentral:rRNA from 1 species
UACGUAGGCAGCAAGCGUUGUUCGGAAUUACUGGGCGUAAAGAGUGUGUAGGCGGUUCUCUAAGUUCCGUGUGAAAUCUCCCGGCUUAACUGGGAGGGUGCGCGGAAGACUGGAGGGCUGGAGUAUGGGAGAGGAAAGCGGAAUUCCUGGUGUGAGCGGUGAAAUGCGUAGAUAUCAGGAGGAACACCUGCGGUGUAGACAGCUUUCUGGACCAUCACUGACGCUGAGACACGAAAGCGUGGGUAGCAAACAGG